AACGCAACUUGCACUCCUUCGGGAGUAUGCCUGUUUGAGAAUCACUUUAUUUUUCUCGGUGCUUCUGGGUUUUGCUCCUUUCGGAAGAGUUCAUCUCGAAGGGGGGCGGCUCCUCAGGGGUUGUGCCGGAGAUUGGGUUUCUUUUAUGCGCGUGCAAGACGUCGCAUUGACCCGUAAUGCAGAGUGUGUAUUUCUCCCUCAGGGUUUGGAGCCUUUUCUUCUCCAGGCUGCUGCAGAAACAGUGUUUUGAAAAUCAAAAUCACUAAAGUAUGCGAUUUUAUGGCAGCUUUUUUAGGGGAAGGGAAGGGGGAACGGCUCGCGGAAGAAUUCGCGCCAUGUGCGCGCACGCUUUUCGAACCGCUUCUCCGGAAGUGGGGCUUUUCAAAACUUUGGUCUCAAAUCAGGCAGGAGGACCCGCUGAACUUAA
rnacentral:misc_RNA from 1 species